AUUAGGAAUCAGAUGGACCAUUAGGAAUCAGAUGGACCAUUAGGAAUCAGAUGGACCAUUAGGAAUCAGAUGGACCAUUAGGAAUCAGAUGGACCAUGAGGAAUCAGAUGGACCAUUAGGAAUCAGAUGGACCAUCAGAAAUCAGAUGGACCAUCAGGAAUCAGAUGGACCAUUAGGAAUCAGAUGGACUAUUAGGAAUCAGAUGGACCAUUAGGAAUCAGAUGGACCAUUAGGAAUCAGAUGGACCAUGACGUGGUCAGAGUGUCCCAGUGAUGAGCCCUGCUUACUGUGGUGUAACAGUGAUCCAGCGUCUUCUCCUCUCUGGCAUUUAAUAAACUGUAUGUAUUUAUGAAGUUCAUGGGUGAGAUUUCCUUUGUUAAAGUCCCCGAGGACAAUAACUAGAGUCCGGGUCGGUCCGCUCCACACAGAGUAUCUGGUCGGCGAGUGUGUCCUUAUGGUUGAAAUGCACUUAUUGUAAGUCGCUUUGGAUAAAAGCAACAACCAAAUGACAUGUGAUGUAAAUAGUUUCAUUCUUUAUCGGUGCUUAUUUACUUUUAAUACAAAUAUUCACAUAGUUUUAUCCAUCAUUCAUAUCAGUAAUAGCGUUGUAAUGUAAAGAGCUGAAAAUGAGUGUCCAGCCAGUCUAAACAAGACCGACGUGACAUCAUGACAUGCAGAACCUGGCAAGAGAAACUCUGGAUGGUACCUUACACUCUCAUGAGACUACAUGGCAGGGGAUUGGACCAACCAUCUGUCAAUCAAACUCUUCCAGCAGCCAGUCGGAAGCAGAUCUCACCCUAGGAUCCACCUCUCCCUAACCUCGGACCGCUAGAAAAAACCCCCUCAAUGGAGGACACCUCCCUACCAGGACCGUUCCCUGAGAACUCACAGGAACCUUUGAGGAACUGUGAGUCUAGUCUUCAGUCUAGUUCAGUCAAAGGGACGUCUUACCCCAGGGAGAUUUUCUCCAUAGGGGUCAUGCGUUAAUAAUUGCUCGUCCUUGGUUGUCGUUUAGAACCUGUGUCGAGGAACUUUUGAACCUUUGAUGAACACGAUCCUCUCCGGUUCACUGAGAGACACACAGAAGCUGUGAAAGAAUGAUGAUCAAAACAAAGAUGAACAACAUGAGGCUGCAGACGAGGGACGUAAUGAUGAAAUGAUGUUUACAUCCCUGAAGCCAGUGGACAACAGACCCGAGUCUGCAUCGAGCCAAUUAAACCCCCCGAAACCACAACUUAUCCCUUUGACACAACCCAAAUAUAUACAUGGUCACAUCUUCUGUCACAGCAGGUCGUCUGAUGCCACAUGAUCUCUGGUAAGUAACCAAUGUAAUUCAUUUGUAAUUGAUCAACAUUCAUAUCAUAAGUCCAAGCUGGUUUUAUUUUACAUUUUUUGAUGUCAGGUGUUUUUGAGCUUUGAUUAUUUUGUGGGUAUUUUUAUUCACCUUCAAUUGUUUUGUAAUUCUCCUGCUUGUCUUCAUUUGAUGAGUUUUGCGUUCUGUAUUUGUACAUUUAGUCCUGAACACAAACAAACUUCUCACGGAGAAGAGGAAGCUCCUCUGGGGGUCCUGUCAGUCCGAUGAGCCAGCGUGACCUUUGCUUGACCUUCUGUGGUUAACGACCCGUCAGACCGACGGAUACCUGAAGGCACCGUACGACACACGCAACAAACACACAC
ensembl:lncRNA